rnacentral:rRNA from 1 species
AUACCCGCUGAACUUAAGNAUAUCAAUAAGG